rnacentral:misc_RNA from 1 species
UGUAGGAGUGAGCCUGCUCGCGAUAGCGGUGUGUCAGUCAAUGAUGUAAGCGACUGACCCACCGCUAUCGCGAGCAGGCUCACUCCUACA